GCAACCUCAUCUCAUCUCUUUGGUCAUCAACAUCUUCCUCAUCACUGAAUGAUCAGCAUGAAUUUCUAAAGGAUGUGAUUGACCAGCGUCUUCCACUUCCUCAAAAUCAAGUUGCAGAGGGUGUUGUCUACAUUACCAUGUUAGCAUUUUCAUGCUUGCAUGUCAAUCCCAAAUCUCGGCCUACAAUGCAACAAGUUUCCUCGAAGCUGAUUCCUAAGUAUCCUCCGNCUCCAAUUUCAAAGCCAUUCUCUACAAUAAAAUUAGAAGAUACUUAGGAAUCAGCUUCGAGGAAACU
rnacentral:misc_RNA from 1 species